GAUGAACGCUGGCGGCGUGCCUAAUACAUGCAAGUCGAGCGAACAGACGAGGAGCUUGCUCCUCUGACGUUAGCGGCGGACGGGUGAGUAACACGUGGAUAACCUACCUAUAAGACUGGGAUAACUUCGGGAAACCGGAGCUAAUACCGGACAAUAUAUUGAACCGCAUGGUUCAAUAGUGAAAGACGGUUUUGCUGUCACUUAUAGAUGGAUCCGCGCCGCAUUAGCUAGUUGGUAAGGUAACGGCUUACCAAGGCAACGAUGCGUAGCCGACCUGAGAGGGUGAUCAGCCACACUGGAACUGAGACACGGUCCAGACUCCUACGGGAGGCAGCAGUGGGGAAUCUUCCACAAUGGGCGAAAGCCUGACGGAGCAACGCCGCGUGAGUGAUGAAGGUCUUCGGAUCGUAAAACUCUGUUAUUAGGGAAGAACAAAUGUGUAAGUAACUAUGCACGUCUUGACGGUACCUAAACAGAAAGCCACGGCUAACUACGUG
rnacentral:rRNA from 1 species